UACGUAGGGGGCGAGCGUUGUCCGGAUUUAUUGGGCGUAAAGAGCUCGUAGGCGGUUGGGUAAGUCGGGUGUGAAAACUCAGGGCUCAACUCUGAGACGCCACUCGAUACUGCUCUGACUCGAGUCCGGUAGGGGAGCGUGGAAUUCCCGGUGUAGCGGUGAAAUGCGCAGAUAUCGGGAGGAACACCAGUGGCGAAGGCGGCUCUCUAGUACGGUACUGACGCUGAGACGCGAAAGCGUGGGGAGCGAACAGG
rnacentral:rRNA from 1 species